AUAACUUUUUUGUUUAAUUAGAAAUACACUUAAGGAAAUAUAUAGAUCUGUUCGAAUUAAGCAUAUCGAUUCUUAUCAGUUUAAUCUCUGAUAUGUGAUCAACUGAUCAUUUCGAGAUUAUCCUGCUCAAAAGGAUUUGAAAGGGGCUUGUUCCUCACCUAUCACGGAUUGAUCCGGUAUUGCAUCUACCCAUGGGAACAGUCCAUUUACC
rnacentral:snRNA from 1 species